CACACACACACACACACUCCUUCUGCAUUAUGACAAAUCAAGGCAGGCAGCAGCGCUAUUAGCACAUCACCGCGCACGGUGCCGGGAAAGACGACCGCUAAGCCCGUACGGCUCGAGCCCAGGCUACGGUGUUUACCCCGUAGGCUUGCUGCGCCGUCGCGCGGCUCCAUAGCGUGGUGGUCUGGUGGCUACGCAGAGUAAAUGCACGAUCGACACUUUGUGAGAAACGUAGAAACUGCAACGGUUGGUGAAACAUCUGGAUCUGCAUUCAAUAUAUAGAGAGGGAUUAGCUGGUGACUCGCGGAAUUAACGAUUUGUUUGUAUGUUUAACGCAUUUGGUCCGCGCGUCGGCGUAUGUGUUUGGGUCUCAGAUAUAAAAACUAUACUUGGUAAAAAAACAAAACAAAGCUAUAUUUUUGCGGUACAGAACAGAACUGCAAUAGGCAAACUUUAAAUGUUAGACUUAAUGUUUACCUAAUCAUUAAUUCAUUAAUUUGUUUAUUUAUUCAUCCAUUGAUGUAUGUAUUUAUUUAUCAUAUUCAACCCACAUAGUCAUUUGCACUGCAGGAAAUCUCUUACCUUGCUUGAUUUACCACUGCAGUAGCUGUUUUGUUAUAUUUAACAUUAUAACACUAUUUAACCUCCAAUGAUUUAAUACUAAGCUUUGUAGAGGCAGUUGGUGUCAUAACUUAUCCUUCUAUUUCAUGCCAAGUAUUGCACUCUCAGUAUGAGUUAUAGGCACGGAGUACAUCUGUUUAAAUCACCCAUGUGAAAGUAUAUAUGUAGAAGACUCCGUGUGCAUUCCUAACCCAUUACAGCCCUGCUGUCAGCAUUCAUGGCUGAAAUGGGAUGUCUGCAUUGCAGCGGUCCCUUAGCCCGACUCCUCCAGCGUGCCCUACUUUGUCCUGUCAAUACGCGCUGCACCAGUGGCACACACUCCACACAAACGGCGCGGCCGAUCGCGCAAAGACGCGCACACUCUCUCUCUCGUUCCCCGCCUGAAACUACAGCAGGGUUUCCUACUAUUGAGAGAUGUGCUGUGAUCCUGGGCUGGUUCACUCUCCUGUCCUGCUUUCCUACUCCGGCCUCCACAGCGUAGCCGUGGUACCUGUGCAUGGCCUGAGUCUUUCUGCCCUGCCCAGACACUUAGCUGGAGCUGUUUGCCUUGGUUAUUGCUCUGCCCAGACUCUUAGCUGGGGCUGUUUGCCUUGGUUAAACCCUCCCAUCAGCUGAUCAGAGCAAACAGAUUAGCACCAUGGACGUCAAAUUGGCAAGCGCGUCACAUUGUCCAUAUGCUCUGAUAUUUUCCUAAGCUCCUUGGUGCCACAAGCUCGUCACUGAGCUGGCCAGCACUGAAGCAUGUGGCCUGGGCUGGGCUUGUUUUGCCAGGCUUUAAGAGGGCAAGUGUCCCACAGUGACGGGAUUAUCUGAUAAAGCCCUAUUGGCUCUGCAAACUUCACAUGCACACAAGAGACAGCAAUUAUUUAAAAGACCUUUGCUUUGUGUGUAAUGGACACAAAAAUGAUUAUAUCUACAUUGUAUUAUAUAAUAUCUCCAUAACAUAUAUAUUUUACAUAAUAACAUGAGAUUACAAUGUACAUAUAACAAACAUUAUAUACACACACACACACACACACACAUAUACAUAUAUAUAUAUAUAUAUAUGUUAUAUGUACAUUGUAAUCUCAUGUAAUAUGUUACUUUCUCAGUGAAGUAUGCUUUUGUGAAAGGUUUAUUUUGAGAUCUCACUGAGCUGGUGGUAUCGAGUAAAGGAUAACUGAUUCUGGAGUUCAACACACUCCACUAGUUCUGAACCAUGUCAAAAUAAACUUUACACAUAAUAAGCUUCUGUUAGAUUUCUUAAAAGCGAGAGUAGCUUGGUGCAUAUAAACUCCUGUGAUCCGGUGCGACCCACUCACUCGGGGAAAUUAAAAUAUGAAAAUGUUUACAACAACCUUCAUGACUUUCAAACACUGCAAGUAUUUUCUUCUUCAGUGAAAAAAUGGGGACGUUCUUAAUAUUCACUGGAUU